AUUGAACGCUAGCGGCAUGCUUUACACAUGCAAGUCGAACGAGUGGCGGACGGGUGGGUAAUACAUUGGAACGUGCCCAGUAGAGGGGGAUAACUACCCGAAACAGUGGCUAAUACCGCAAACCAUUGGCGCGGCCGCUAUCGGAUUAGCUAGUUGGUGGGGGAAAGGCUCACCAAGGCAACGAGCCGUAGCUGGUUUGAGAGGAUGACCAGCCACACUGGGACUGAUACACGGCCCAGACUCCUACGGGAGGCAGCAGUGGGGAAUUUUGGACAAUGGGGGAAACCCUGAUCCAGCCAUGCCGCGUGUGUGAGAAGGCCUUCGGGUUGUAAAGUACUUUUGGCAGAGAGGCGGUAUCUGCAGAAUAAGCACCGGCUAACUACGUGCCAGCAGCCGCGGUAAUAC
rnacentral:rRNA from 1 species